CGCACGCGCGCGCCGGAGGCGCGAAGCCGCCUGAGGGAAGCGGCCCUCAGCCCCUGCGCCCGUCCGCCUGGCGAGGGAACGCGGAUGAUCUCUGGAAUCUCAGCGCUUGUUUCGGCUUUUUUGUUGCAGAAUACAUCCUGAAGCUGGCACAUGGCCAAUACUUUAAGAUGAUGAAAAUUAACUUAAACUAGCAGAUUCCUCCCAUUAACUUAUUCUGAACACUGUAUUCAAGGGGUAAAAGUGUCUGCAAAAAAAACCCAGAACAAACAAACAAAAAAACCCAGCCACAAGGAGGACUGCUUCAAUACUUAUAACAGGAAUUGUUUCUGUAUUACAAGGUGCAGGCAUGCUGUAAAAUCUGAGUGUAGAGACUAUGGAAAGAAGGGCUGCCUGUGUCCUGCCUGCACUGCACUUAGCUGUGGAAGACAAAACUCGCUCUGCUGGGCAGCAGGGAAAGGAUUCUGA
rnacentral:lncRNA from 1 species